rfam:Schistosoma haematobium scaffold152_12, whole genome shotgun sequence.
AUCCAACAGACGAGUCUCAAAUUAGAUGAAGCGCUCGUCAUGGAU